CCCCCAUUGAAGCAUUUUCACCGCCAUCCAUUGCUCCUCUCUCUCUCUCUCUCUCUCUCUCGGCCGCCAUUGGAGGAGCUACGAGGAGGAGGAGAAGCGACAGUGAAAGGGGGGGAUCGAGGGCGUAUGCGAUCGGUGGGUUUGAAUCUUCUUUUCAUAUAUCUCUCUGUUGCCAUUGGAGGAGCUGGAAGGAAGAGGAACAUCGGUGACGAUUGGUAGAGCUUGGAGGAGGAAGGGAAGCAUCAGCGUGAACUGGCGGAUUAGAGGUGGUACGAUCGGAGGCUGUCAGUUGGAUGCUUGCAUUAUAGCAUUUUGGAGCUUUUCUCUCUUCAGGCUUCAAUUUCACAAUAGAUUUCUCCAUUAUGGGUACCUGUGGAUCCUCUUGAAUGGCAGAUUUCUCAGGAUACAACCAAUAGCAUUUUCGCCUGCCUGGCUAAUACAAUCGGGGCAGCUGAAUCUAUCUUGAGGGUUGCUCCAACAGGCCAUGACAAAAGGCUAUUCUUUAAGGUGAUUGCUAUUCUGUAUCUCCUAGCAUCAUUGGGAAGAUUGGCAUUAGGAGCCACUGUUGCAUAUGCUGGCUUACGUGACACAAGAAAAUGUUCUGCUUGGGACUCUGACAGUCAGAGAGACCAUCACUUACUGAUGCCCAUUUUCCUUCCCUCAACAUCUGGUG